UUAGAUUAGAAUAUGGUAAAACGUUAGACUGACAUUGCGUCUAGGUUUAGUCUCGUCUAUUUAAGCAGUUUUAUCUGCUUCUUUGAUAGUGUUUCAAACAAAAUCUGCUUCUUUGAUUUUCAGUUAUAAAAUUGAGUCCAUUGCACAGAAAAUAAGGGUCAAACCCAACUUAAAAUGGUGUUAAUGACACAGAUGACCCUAUGCCUCA
rnacentral:lncRNA from 1 species